UGGGGAAUAUUGCGCAAUGGGGGGAACCCUGACGCAGCCAUGCCGUGUGAAUGAAGAAGGCCUUAGGGUUGUAAAGUUCUUUCGGUAUUGAGGAAGGUUGAUGUGUUAAUAGCACAUCAAAUUGACGUUAAAUACAGAAGAAGCACCGGCUAACUCCGUGCCAGCAGCCGCGGUAAUACGGAGGGUGCGAGCGUUAAUCGGAAUAACUGGGCGUAAAGGGCACGCAGGCGGUUAUUUAAGUGAGGUGUGAAAGCCCCGGGCUUAACCUGGGAAUUGCAUUUCAGACUGGGUAACUAGAGUACUUUAGGGAGGGGUAGAAUUCCACGUGUAGCGGUGAAAUGCGUAGAGAUGUGGAGGAAUACCGAAGGCGAAGGCAGCCCCUUGGGAAUGUACUGACGCUCAUGUGCGAAAGCGUGGGGAGCAAACAGGAUUAGAUACCCUGGUAGUCCACGCUGUAAACGCUGUCGAUUUGGGGGUUGGGGUUUAACUCUGGCGCCCGUAGCUAACGUGAUAAAUCGACCGCCUGGGGAGUACGGCCGCAAGGUUA
rnacentral:rRNA from 1 species